GACGAACGCUGGCGGCGUGCUUAACACAUGCAAGUCGAACGGAAAGGCCCUGCUUUUGUGGGGUGCUCGAGUGGCGAACGGGUGAGUAACACGUGAGUAACCUGCCCUUGACUUUGGGAUAACUUCAGGAAACUGGGGCUAAUACCGGAUAGGAGCUCCUGCUGCAUGGUGGGGGUUGGAAAGUUUCGGCGGUUGGGGAUGGACUCGCGGCUUAUCAGCUUGUUGGUGGGGUAGUGGCUUACCAAGGCUUUGACGGGUAGCCGGCCUGAGAGGGUGACCGGCCACAUUGGGACUGAGAUACGGCCCAGACUCCUACGGGAGGCAGCAGUGGGGAAUAUUGCACAAUGGGCGGAAGCCUGAUGCAGCAACGCCGCGUGCGGGAUGACGGCCUUCGGGUUGUAAACCGCUUUCGCCUGUGACGAAGCGUGAGUGACAGUAAUGGGUAAAGAAGCACCGGCUAACUACGUGCCAGCAGCCGCGGUGAUACGUAGGGUGCGAGCGUUGUCCGGAUUUAUUGGGCGUAAAGGGCUCGUAGGUGGUUGAUCGCGUCGGAAGUGUAAUCUUGGGGCUUAACCCUGAGCGUGCUUUCGAUACGGGUUGACUUGAGGAAGGUAGGGGAGAAUGGAAUUCCUGGUGGAGCGGUGGAAUGCGCAGAUAUCAGGAGGAACACCAGUGGCGAAGGCGGUUCUCUGGGCCUUUCCUGACGCUGAGGAGCGAAAGCGUGGGGAGCGAACAGGCUUAGAUACCCUGGUAGUCCACGCUGUAAACGGUGGGUACUAGGUGUGGGGUCCAUUCCACGGGUUCCGUGCCGUAGCUAACGCUUUAAGUACCCCGCCUGGGGAGUACGGCCGCAAGGCUAAAACUCAAAGGAAUUGACGGGGCCCCGCACAAGCGGCGGAGCAUGCGGAUUAAUUCGAUGCAACGCGUAGAACCUUACCUGGGUUUGACAUGGAUCGGGAGUGCUCAGAGAUGGGUGUGCCUCUUUUGGGGUCGGUUCACAGGUGGUGCAUGGCUGUCGUCAGCUCGUGUCGUGAGAUGUUGGGUUAAGUCCCGCAACGAGCGCAACCCUUGUUCACUGUUGCCAGCACGUUAUGGUGGGGACUCAGUGGAGACCGCCGGGGUCAACUCGGAGGAAGGUGGGGAUGACGUCAAGUCAUCAUGCCCCUUAUGUCCAGGGCUUCACGCAUGCUACAAUGGCUGGUACAGAGAGUGGCGAGCCUGUGAGGGUGAGCGAAUCUCGGAAAGUCGGUCUCAGUUCGGAUUGGGGUCUGCAACUCGACCUCAUGAAGUCGGAGUCGCUAGUAAUCGCAGAUCAGCAACGCUGCGGUGAAUACGUUCCCGGGGCU
rnacentral:rRNA from 1 species